rnacentral:sRNA from 1 species
GUUUGCACUUAUCGGGGAAGGGUGAGAACCUUCGAUUAAGGUUCGACUCGAGCGAAAGCGAGAGAACGUUGCCAACGGCAACGGCCCGUAGGGUGAGGAGCGA